UACGGAGGGUGCAAGCGUUGCUCGGAAUUAUUGGGCGUAAAGCGCGUGUAGGCGGCUGGACAAGUCUGGUGUGAAAUCCUGGAGCUUAACUCCAGAACUGCAUCGGAUACUGUCUAGCUAGAGGAUGAGAGAGGAUGGUGGAAUUCCUGGUGUAGGGGUGAAAUCCGUAGAUAUCAGGAGGAACAUCGGUGGCGAAGGCGGCCAUCUGGCUCAUUUCUGACGCUGAGACGCAAAAGCGUGGGGAGCAAACAGG
rnacentral:rRNA from 1 species